AGUUUGAUCAAUCACUACUUUGUUUUGCUUUGUUUUGUUGUUUUUAUAAAUAUAAGAAAAGAAGGGUCUUUGGAGGUUCAUAGGACAUGGUCAAUCUUUACAUUUCUUGUCCUAUGAUAUGAAUUUUCACCUCAAUCAUCAAUAACAAUCUUCAACUUGUUCAAAUUCUACUUCUUUUACCUCCACCUUCAAGAAAAUCCAGUGCAUUGAGUUCUUCCAAAAGUUUGGCUUGAAGAGAAAUUCCUCACCUCUACACUAGAUGCAGGAGUGUUCUGUGUGAUUCUGG